UGCGUAGGCGGCCCUGUAAGUCAGAGGUGAAAGCCCACAGCUUAACUGUGGAAUUGCCUUUGAUACUGCGGGGCUUGAAUUAGGUUGAGGUUAGCGGAAUGUGGCAUGUAGCGGUGAAAUGCAUAGAUAUGCCAUAGAACACCAAUUGCGAAGGCAGCUGGCUAGACCUUAAUUGACGCUGAGGCACGAAAGCGUGGGGAGCGAACAGGAUUAGAUACCCUGGUAGUC
rnacentral:rRNA from 1 species